UGUUGUCAGUUGCUUUUUCUGGCAAGACUGCCCUGAAAACAGGGAGGAAGGUGGGGAUGACGUCAAAUCAGCAUGGCCCUUAUGCCUUGGGCUACACACACGCUACAAUGGGUGGUACAAUUGGUUGCAAUAGAGUAAUCUGGAGCUAAUCCUAAAAACCAUCCUCAGUUCGGAUUGCAGGCUGAAACUUGCCUGCAUGAAGUUGGAGUUGCUAGUAACCGCAGGUCAGCAUACUGCGGUGAAUACGUUCUCGGGCCUUGUACACACCGCCCGUCACGUCAUGAAAGUUGGCAAUACCUGAAGUCGGUGUGCUAACCCUUUGGGGGGCAGCCGCCGAGGGUAGGGCUAAUGAUUGGGACG
rnacentral:rRNA from 1 species